CCCAGACUCCUACGGGAGGCAGCAGUGGGGGAUAUUGCACAAUGGGGGAAACCCUGAUGCAGCGACGCCGCGUGAGUGAAGAAGUAUUUCGGUAUGUAAAGCUCUAUCAGCAGGGAAGAAGAUGACAGUACCUGAGUAAGAAGCCCCGGCUAACUACGUGCCAGCAGCCGCGGUAAUACGUAGGGGGCAAGCGUUAUCCGGAUUUACUGGGUGUAAAGGGAGCGUAGACGGUUAUGUAAGUCUGGAGUGAAAGCCCGGGGCCCAACCCCGGGACUGCUUUGGAAACUGUGUAACUAGAGUACAGGAGGGGCAGGCGGAAUUCCUGGUGUAGCGGUGAAAUGCGUAGAUAUUAGGAGGAACACCAGUGGCGAAGGCGGCCUGCUGGACGACAACUGACGGUGAGGCGCGAAAGCGUGGGGAGCAAACAGGAUUAGAUACCCCAGUAGA
rnacentral:rRNA from 1 species